ACAAUUCCUCAGAUUCAUACAUAAAAGCAGAGAGGUAACACAAUGGUUUUACAGCAUCAAAGUAGCAUGCCCUGCUCAGCUCCCUGAGGCAUCGCGAUGUGCUGAGGCUGCAUGGAGGAGGCUGGAAGGUGCCCCUGUUACCUGGGCAAUUUGUGAGCUUCGUGUUACAAAGUGAUGUGCCCUGGACUUUCAGCAUGUGUUUGAGGGGAAGGAGAGUCUCACACAAAUCAGUAAGCAUACUUUAUGACAAAAGUUCACUGUGCUUUUGGAACCUAUGCUUUGCUACUUCCUCUGUCUGAGUGCUUCAAGCACCUUCAAGUUUUGGGUGAAUGCUAAAAUUAAUUAAAGAUAGUUUAAGAUCUUGAUGAUAUACUUCUAGAAUGAGGUACAUCGGAAUUGAUCUUUGCAUGAGCUUUCCACUAGAAUGGGG
rnacentral:lncRNA from 1 species